UCUCUCUACCGAACAACAACAACACACUUUCCUCUCGGUUUCUCUCCUCCAUGAUAAUCACCAUCAAUUUUCGUUCUCAUCUUCAUUUCUCUCGCGAAUGACACAACAACAAUGGUCUCCUCGCGUGAAAACGGUGACAACAAUGAUUCUCUCUCGGUUGUUUUUCUCUGCCCACGGUUGAAGACAACAACUUAGCUUCUCUUAAUCACUCUCCCUCUCACUGAAACGAAGACAACAACAAAAAACCUCCCUCUCGGUUUACGGCGGCCAUGGGAGGAAAAUCAGAAGAAAUCCAGUUUCAGACAAAUCAUAGGUAUAACAAUUAACAGCAAAAAUAUUGAGUGUGAGGUAUGAAGUAUACUUACCUUCGGCGAGGAGAUGUUCGCCGGAUUUUGAAUUUGAGCAUAACUUAUUGCCGGCUGCCGCGUUGAAGAUGAUGUGGGGCUGCCACCGAAAGUCAGAGGAUCUAUUUUGAUGAAGAUGAUGCAACAAAACCUUUUUUUGGAUAUUAGGGAGACUUGAAGAUGCAACUUCAAGUUGUUGCUCUCCACUAAGGUAUGAACUACUUCUUCACCCCUUUUCCAACUAUGGAACUAAGAAACUUUGAAAAUUAUGAGAGAAAAGGGAGGAGUGAAAAAAGCAAGUAGUUAAGGUUGCUUUGGUGUGAUUUGCAAUGAAGAGAACACCUCUAUUUAUAGGAAAAGCUUAGGAUGUGUUUGGCAUAAAAAUUAACUUGAUUGGCAAGAUUGUAAUCAUUGAGAAAAUAAGAAUAAGAAUAAGAAUAUUCUCCAUGUCAUUAUGCAAAGAUAUUUCUUAUGAUAUGAAUCAUGCAAGUGGAAGAAAAAUCUCUCUUUGAUUCCUUUUUGUCUUGAAUUAUCUCUUCUUUUUGAAUUAUUUCUUUUAUUGGACUUUUUGCUAAUCU